rnacentral:rRNA from 1 species
UACGUAGGGUGCAAGCGUUGUCCGGAAUUAUUGGGCGUAAAGAGCUCGUAGGCGGUUUGUUGCGUCGGCUGUGAAAUCCCCGAGGCUCAACCUUGGGUCUGCAGUCGAUACGAGCAAACUAGAGUGUUGCAGGGGAGACUGGAAUUCCUGGUGAUAGCGGUGAAAUGCGCAGAUAUCAGGAGGAACACCGGUGGCGAAGGCGGGUCUCUGGGCAACAACUGACGUGGAGGAGCGAAA